ensembl:snRNA U2 U2 spliceosomal RNA
AUUAUUUAUUAGCCUUUUGGCUACCAUAAAGUGUAGUAUAGGUUCUAAUCAAUUUAAUAUUCUAAAUGUCCUAUACCUGAAGACAAUAUAUUAUUUAAAUUUUUGGAGCAGGGAGAUGGAAUGGGAGAUUGUUUCAUCCAAUCCAUGCAUUGACCUGGUAUUACAGUGCCACCAGGAAUGGUGCAUCCCCU